UACGUAGGUGGCAAGCGUUAUCCGGAUUUACUGGGUGUAAAGGGCGUGUAGGCGGGACUGCAAGUCAGAUGUGAAAACCACGGGCUCAACCUGUGGCCUGCAUUUGAAACUGUAGUUCUUGAGUACUGGAGAGGCAGACGGAAUUCCUAGUGUAGCGGUGAAAUGCAUAGAUAUCACACAGAACACCGAUUGCGAAGGCAUCUGACGAAUCGGAGAUUGACGCUGAUGCACGAAAGCGUGGGUAUCGAACAGG
rnacentral:rRNA from 1 species